rnacentral:lncRNA from 1 species
CGCGCGGGGACGCAUCUGGGCCGUCUGAUCGCGCGCACGCGGAUCGCCCACGUGGUUCGUUCCCGGGUCGACGUGGUCUUGCCACGCGGCAGGUCCUGGUUGGCCAGGGCUGCUGACUGGGCCGCUGACGUGGCUGCUGAUGUGGCGCUGACGGGGCGCAAUUUUUUUAAAUUACGUUUUGACCCCCGGUUUUCGAUUUUCUUUU